CUUAGUGGACAGUCAUGCUCAGAGGAAAUCCUGAUACUCAUUUUAUGCACUUUGCCCUGAAAAACUUGCUUCCACAAAGGCAGGCUAAAACCACCAAAAGUUUGAAAAAGAGCAGGAGUUGUAAGGAAAACAGUUCCAACAAGCUCCAUCUGCUGUGCUUUUAUUUUCCACCUUUCUCCAGGGAUGUAGGAGCAGACAAGGAAGUGUGAGGCAGCAUACAGAUCCCACAAUGGACAACAAGGGAUUAAGGAACUGCUCUGAGCUAAGGGAGCUCCAGCUUGCCACACCUGCAAGGCAUGCACAGACUGAAAGAGGAGCUUAGCCAUGCACUUAUUGGAAGAUUAGGGAAAAGAACAGGCCUCCAGCUCCUAAGGAAAGGGCUUUCUGAAGGGACUACCCUGGAAGAGGAGAGACUUUAAAGUGACUUGGUUGGAGAGUAAAGUCAUAGGAAGAGGCAGACCACUACAGAGGUGGAGCAACCAUUGGCUGGAGGUAUCUGAUGGGAAGAGAGAUGCUAUGCCAUAGCCACAAGGAGGUGC